AUUUCUCUUUUUAUUUUAGUAUCUUGGUUUAACCAUCACUCUUUCAAUCUUAAGAAGGUCUUGCAGAAUUUUAUAGUCCCAGAUAUCAUUAUCAUUUGUAGCAUAUGAAUUAAGGAUUUGCAUUCACUC